UUAUAACUUAUUUAUAGAUUGACAAAAUUAAUUUUAUUUGACCUCUUGAUUUUCAUUUUUGACCAUCAUUUUAUUAUCUACACUACCGGUGAAUGGUUGUCGUCUUCAGUCUUGUCGAUUAAGAGAUAUGAACGACCCAAUCGAGUUUUGAAGAAUUUGAAAAAUAUGUGAUGGAAAAGUACAAAAUUGAAAAAACAAGCAAUAGGUGCCGGGCAUACACUGCAUAUUAUGAUGGAGAGGUAAACGUAAAUACGCAAUUGAAAAUAAAUUGACGCAAUUAUCUGACGCAUCCACUUAAAGGGAAACUUAAAAACUACCCUUUCAUUCUAAAUACAUGGCAGUGACACUCCUAGACACUCAAAGGACCGAUCUACCAACCAUCAGAGGCUCUCCAGAUCACGGUGGGACUGCCGUACUGGUCUACUGCCACCACAUCAUCUACCAACCUACGUAUCUUCACACGGACUUAUAAUCCACGUCGAUUCUGAUUAAACCCCCAAACCAAACCACCCAAAGCUCUGGCUGACCUAUUUCACCCGUCGACCUCAACACAAAACACCCUCUGUGGCACAAACGAGCCAUGAAUUCCGCUGAUUCGACAUUCUACAACCAUGUACAAUGGAGUGAAUAUGCGUUGAUGGCACCAACAACUCCGACAUACCAACCCUACAUCCGUUCAUACUGGCCUGACGUGCUUGACAUUGCUCUCUAUAGCCUCCUCUCCACCUUCAGAACUAAUGAUCCAUCUACCACGUUAUCGACUCUUCCACUUCAAUCGUCCACACUGCAGAACAAACUAAUUUUUAAGCAAUGAAACCUAGUUGCUCACCCUUCCCCCAUAAUCACUAUGAAAUCAAACGUAAAAACUGUCUUUGCCACGGGUGGCAGCUAAGUAGCGACCCAGCAAUUCAAAGAUGCUCAAAAGCCAAAAUAAAUUUGAACGGAACCAUACAUUUCAUUCAAAAUCAAGAUGAAUGGGACAAGUUCCUCGACACCCUAGACUACAACGAAGGUUCAAUUUACUAAGCUGACAAAUGCCUCUUGCAUAAACGUACAGCCCAUUGCCCGGUCCAAACAUUUUAUGUGUUUUUGGCAACCGACAAGGUUGAAUUCAUAACUGACUCCCUCGAAUUUCUAUUCACCCCAAAUCCAGGACCGGGAUCUUCCUGAAGUCAUUAACUGCAAUAAAGCGACCCCGCGGUCCAACUCUACUGAUGCCACUAGCCGCAAUAUGCAUGUAACUCCUGGCUUCAUCAUGAAACUUCUCUCCAAGUUUCCAAAGAAAAAAGCCAAACAUCAAACAUGGCUUUAUGUCUACUGAUUAAAACAUGACUCUGGCCUUAAUCAAAAUCCUAAAUGGCUUUGCUAUUUCUCGGCAGUAUGGAAUUUAGCCACAAUAAUUUACAUCUCUAAACCAGGUAAACACCCUCUUAAACCAGACAGUUACAGUCUUAUAGAACUGCAGCUUUCCAUUACCCUCGAAAGUGUGUGAGAAAAUCAUUCUAAAUGAAUCCCAGAAGCAAUUUCUCAUAACAUCAGACUGGAGCAAGCUGCGUUCCAAUAAGAAAAUUCUACUUCUCAAAAACU